rnacentral:rRNA from 1 species
CUACGGGCGGCUCCAGUGAGGAAUAUUGCACAAUGGGGGGAACCCUGAUGCAGCAACGCUGCGUGGAGGAUGACGCAUUUCGGUGUGUAAACUCCUUUUAUAUGUCAAGAAAAUGACGGUAGCAUAUGAAUAAGCGCCGGCUAACUCCGUGCCAGCAGCCGCGGUAAUACGGAGGGCGCAAGCGUUACUCGGAAUCACUGGGCGUAAAGGACGCGUAGGCGGGUUGAAAAGUCAGGUGUGAAAGCCUACAGCUUAACUGUAGAACUGCACUUGAAACUCUCAAUCUAGAGUAUGGGAGGGGCAGAUGGAAUUAGUGGUGUAGGGGUAAAAUCCGUAGAUAUCACUAGGAAUACCUAAAGCGAAGGCGAUCUGCUGGAACAUUACUGACGCUAAGGCGUGAAAGCGUGGGGAGCAAACAGGAUUAGAUACCCCGGUAGUC